AUGUUUUGGAAUGUUUACCGUUACCGUGCAAACCUGUUUGUUAGCUCCAAUUCUACAUGUUUUAAUGUAAAAUUCUCAUUAUCCUUUUUGAAAAUGAAGAAGGCAAUUAAAAAAUGGUUUCGAGGUUGGUGUUUUUUUUGCUUUGUGUGCUGCUGUAGCACCAACGAGACCAAAACCAGGACAAGAAAUGGAAGAAAACAACGAAAGAACAAAGAGACUGAAUUUAUUGAAUUGACAGACCUUGGGAAAAACACUUCAGUCAAUGGAUCAUGCAAACGAUCUGGCACAACAAAGAAGGAAGCACCUGAAACAUUGAAAAUUGUCACUCCAACAUCAACAAGCAGCAAGAUCUCAAAUAAUAUCUUGAGCAAAGAGUCACCUGGUCACCUUUCUGUUGAGGACUGUAAGGCCCAGCCUUUUUACCCAACCAACCAUUCUCCGCAAGAGGAGAACCCACUUAUUCUCCAGUCUGGUCCAUUGCUAGAUUGCACAGCUGAUCAUUGGCCAUACUUCCCUCCAAACCUCCUGCCCCCACCACCCCUGGAGCAAAAAACAACCAUGACCAAGAUAUUUGGAGAUCUCACUCUGCUCCAGCCUGGUCAGUCCAUGGGAGAUGCCUGGAACACUUCAGACAUUAGAGCGGAAGAACCUCGUUGUCUGGAGGUUGUGAAAAACCUGACAGGCCUGUGGGGCAGCAGUGUGCAACGCCAGCCUCAUCCGACGUCACCAGCCAAUCACCUCAGCCCCGCCCUGAGCCAGUAUCUGGACUCCACCACCACACCGAUGACCUUUGACCUCCAGAAACUGGGCCUGACCUCUGAUCUCAUGGAGGUGCCUGAGGAGAUGUUGUUUAUGGAGGUGUGGGACCUCGGUGAGGGCGCAGGGGACCAGCGCUAUAAGGCCAAGUGGGAAAUUACCGGGACGAACAGCAUUGUGCUAGACGAGGGCACCUGGCUGCAGAACGAUGACAACUGGUGAACCCACACAUGAAAGACUAUCCUGUUGGGUGAACAAUUAUCAUCUUACGAUUCAUAAGUGUGUGAAUACAUUAAGACUAUUCUUGCAUUCCUUCUCUUCUUUAAUCCCUCCAACAUGCAUUACAAAAAGGAAGAGCAAAACGUAGAUCUGGUAAGCAGACGUCACAUUUCUUUCUCCACAGGUGCAGGUAUAGGAUGACUAUAUCUGAGCUACUCUUACUCUGUGCCGACAUGCUGUUUGCAUGUGAUUAACCACAUUUUCCAGAGCCCAGCUCUAGCACAGAUUAGCAACAUUUCACAAUUGAAAUCACUAGUAUGUCUGUUUAUUCUAGAUAUGCCUGAUGUGUGACAUGGCAGAUUUUUUGAAGAGCGGUGAGGCGAGGUUAACAGUGGGAAGUCUGUGUCAGAGGGGUGUGAAAUGACUUCAGGGAUAGAAGUCUGGGUUGGGGAGGGACAGUAGAGGGCUAACUAAAUAGAACACUAAAAUGUAAAUUCACAAAAGAAAGAGAACCAUCUGUAGAAAAAGUACAAAACAUAUGAAUCAGGUACAUAUUUAUUGAGGCAAUUUUAAAUAGAAAGUUCAAGUUGAGACACUUGAAAUAAUGCUCAAGACAUUUCAUGUACAAACACAAGAAAAACAAUAUAGCAUGAAGGAAACUUAGAUAUUUACAACAUAAAAAAGGAAAAGGAAAAAUUUGGCAUGAAUUUAGUCUGUUUCACCAUGUAAUCACCAUGUAAUCCCAACUUUGACUAAAUAAAUAGGUACACAUCAAUUACCAGGAGAUUGGGUAUAGUGGUUAUCAAUAAACGGCCAAAACGUAAAUUAAAUAGCUUCAACAAAUGGUUCAAACAAUUGGCAUCCAUUGCAUGUUGAAAAUCAAAAGCCCUUUAAAUUAAAAUAGAGAAAAUGACCUGGCUGCCACCAUUGAAGAGCUAAAUCAUAACACUACACCCAAGUGGUAGUAGAAGAAGGACAAGAAUUUUGCUCAUAAGACCAAGAGCACUGUCGUGAUUCACUAACAGUCUCUGUUCAUCAGUGGUCACAAACAAAUGUAUCCAUUACAAUGAGCACCAUGAAGAUUAAAAUAGAGGCAUUAAAAAAACGAAAUGUGUAAACAAAUGUAUGGAAGCAUUAAAAAACCUCUUACUAAGAAAACAAGCAAACUGACAAAUCCCAAUGGAUUUCGACAAUACAUUUCAUCUGUCAUUUUGAGUUCCCUUU
rnacentral:lncRNA from 1 species